AACGCCUCUCAAACCCCGUUGCACACCGUUCCCAGGAAACAUGUCGUUCAAAACGGAAACCGUAGCAAAACGGUGCACACCGGUUUGAGCUUGAACUUGCCCCAGUUCACUCAUAUUAUGACAGAUGGCAGAAGUGGACGCGACGCUUGCAGAUUGUAAACAAAGUUUUUGAUUGGCCAAACGAAUGCCUACGUCAUCCACAACUCUGGCAGACGCGUCGCAUACUUGCAGCGCGUUCUGUCGCUGAUUAUGAGAGCGAUCUAGUUUUUCGUUGCGGCGCUGUUUGCAACAAAUGCGGUAUUAAAUCUAAUAAAGAUAAAAAUACUUUACGGAUGUAGUUUGUUUUUACGUGUUCUUUUUUCCUAAAAUGUCUAUUUGAUCAUGUUAUUUUAGAUUAUCAGCGCUAGGCAUGUGGAAAUUGGCAUAUUUCAGAAGGACGCCGUGAAAAUGUUUCAUCUGAGAGAUGGGCACAGCAAAAAGCAGGAUGAAAAAAGUCGCACCUGUGUCAGUGACAGAGGAAAACGUCUGUAGCAGCGGCAUUCACCGGGAUGAAAGUCAGCUGUUUGGUCCCUCAAACACCAAAACCUCAGAUCGGCGUCUGACAAUCAGAAGGAGAGCCCAGGCAGACUGUAACAGCGAGGGGCAGGACUCUGAGUUUUCAGCCGACGAUCUCGCGGUGGAAGUGGACAGAAUCCUCGCUGAGUGUGUCAGCACUGAUAUAUCACUGAACAGGACUUCUUAUAAGAUGCCAAUGUUUGGAUCGAACUCUUUAGGGCUUUACUAUGCCAGAGGCCAAGACCGCAACAACGUCUACAGUGGCAGUACACGUGACAAAAAUGAAAUGAACACAGUGAACAAACCAACCUCCAUUCAUGAAAAGGUCAGGCCUCCACAGGACCUGCUGAGCUGUGCCAACAUAGAGAACACAGCAACAGCUUCGGGUUCUGGAAUUGGUGGUGGUUCAUCUGUGGCCUUGCCUAUCAUGUAUGAUGCUUCAGAAGAGGACCUCAUGAACACAAUCGAGAGAGAGUUAGGUUAACAACCACGAUGAUCUUCUGAGACAACUAAAAGAGAGUUGAUGUAUGAGAAGGAUUAUUGAUAAAUCACUACAAAGUAUUAGGAUCAUUUUUAUAUUAAUCACUGAUGUUUUGGCAUGAAAUGUUUGAUUUUAAGAUAUAUAUAUAUAUAGGCCUACCUAAAGUGAUUUCAUUUCAGAUUACAGCUGAGUCCAUGCUCUCAGGAAGGCUGCUAAAGAAGCCUGUAAUUCUUUGAGAGACUGGAUAUGCCUUAUGGUUCAGGAUGAGGUUUAUUCAGUUUAUUAAGUCAUUAUUCUAAUAAAAAGGAAAGAAAUAAAACACAUACUUUGCUUUUGACAUUUUUGAAGAAUAAUAUUCUGUAAAGCAGCUUGCCUGAGAGAGAAAAACAUAUGGAGUGGAUAAUUUAGUUCCAUUUCCUGACCACAUUUCCAAAAUCCUCCACCCGUCUAAGACAGGAAUUCACAUCAGCAGUUUUAGAGUUUUGGAGGCCCUCUAACUGCCCUAAACUACCGUGAUGUAUGUUCACCAAAUUGAAUAACCUCCAAAAUGCAGAAUACAAUUUCUUUGGAGGCACAGUGAAAAUCAUGCAGAAUCUGGUAAUGUGUAGCUUUAAUUAAAAUAGUUUGGUUAAUUUUAGAUAGACCCUAUUAGUAGCAGCUUAAAAAAAACUACAUUUAAUGUGAAAAAUAUGUUUGUUUUGUCAACACCGAAAGCUGUGGUAUUUUCUUUCUUUCUGACAGUUCAGUAGGAU
rnacentral:lncRNA from 1 species